rnacentral:misc_RNA from 1 species
GAUGAAGAACGUAGCGAAAUGCGAUACGUAAUGUAAAUUGCAGAAUUCAGUGAAUCAUCGAAUCUUUGAACGCACAUUGCGCCUGCCAGCACUCUGGCAGGCAUGCCUGUUCGAGCAUCAUUUCAACCAUCAAGCCCUAGGCUUGCGUUGGAGCCCUGCGGCUGCCGCAGGCCCCUAAAAGCAGUGGCGGGCUCGCUAUCACACCGAGUGCAGUAGAUUACUCUUCGCUCAGGGCGUGUGGCGGGUUCCAGCCGUGAAACCCCCUACUUCUCAAGGUUGACCUCGGAUCAGGUAGGAAUACCCGCUGAACUUAAGCAUAUCAAUAAGCGGAGGA